rnacentral:hammerhead_ribozyme from 13 species
CUCGAGUCCCAGAGUGCACAGCUGAUGAGUCCCGAAUAGGACGAAACGCGAA